rnacentral:rRNA from 1 species
UCCCCGRAAGCUAUUUAGGUAGCGCCUCGGACGAAUACCAUAGGGGGUAGAGCACUGUUUCGGCUAGGGGUCAUCCCGACUUACCAAACCGAUGCAAACUCCGAAUACCUAUGAGUACUAUCCGGGAGACAGACUGCGGGUGCUAACGUCCGUAGUCAAGAGGAAAACAAUCCAGACCGCCAGCUAAGGCCCCAAAAUCAUAGUUAAGUGGGAAACGAUGUGGGAAGGCAUAGACAGCUAGGAGGUUGGCUUAGAAGCAGCCACCCUUUAAAGAAAGCGUAAUAGCUCACUAGUCGAGUCGGCCUGCGCGGAAGAUGUAACGGGGCUAAAACUAUGUGCCGAAGCUGCGGAUUUGACAUUAGUCAAGUGGUAGGGGAGCGUUCUGUAAGCCGAUGAAGGUGUAUUGAGAAGUAUGCUGGAGGUAUCAGAAGUGCGAAUGCUGACGUGAGUAACGACAAAACGGGUGAAAAACCCGUUCGCCGAAAGACCAAGGGUUCCAGUCCAACGUUAAUCGGGGCUGGGUGAGUCGACCCCUAAGGCGAGGCCGAAAGGCGUAGUCGAUGGGAAAAUGGUUAAUAUUCCAUUACUUCUGUGUAAUGCGAUGAGAGGACGGAGAAGGCUAAAUCAGCCUGGCGUUGGUUGUCCAGGUGAAAGGAUGUAGGCAUGUAUCUUAGGCAAAUCCGGGGGUACUCUAUGCUGAGAUCUGAUAGCAAGCUGUACUUGUACAGCGAAGUGG